GGUGAAAGAAAGAAGGCUGCAAAAUAUUAAGUCAUCUAAAAUUAUAAGUCAGAAAAGAGAUUCACUAUUACUCCAGACUAAACCCAUGGCAAUACUGAAGCCUACUGCAAGCAGAAUGUUAAAGUGCCCUUUUUCUCUCUGUUUCUCAAUUGACAAAAUUGAGAGUCAGAAGCAUCCAGUUACUAUAAUAUGGACAGCCCUGGACCACGUUUUUCCAAAGGGUUUUCACAGACGAUGAAAUGCCACCAAAAGAAAGUUAGAUUAAAUCAUGGUAAGCAUAAUAUUUAAUAGGACUCAU
rnacentral:lncRNA from 1 species